AUUGAACGCUGGCGGCAGGCCUAACACAUGCAAGUCGAGCGCGAAAUCACUUCGGUGAGAGUAGAGCGGCGGACGGGUGAGUAACGCGUAAGAAUCUACCUAGUAGUGGGGGACAACUCGGGGAAACUCGAGCUAAUACCGCAUACGCCCUACGGGGGAAAGCGGGGGACCUUCGGGCCUCGCGCUAUUAGAUGAGCUUGCGUUGGAUUAGCUUGUUGGUGAGGUAAUGGCUCACCAAGGCGACGAUCCAUAGCUGGUCUGAGAGGAUGAUCAGCCACACCGGGACUGAGACACGGCCCGG
rnacentral:rRNA from 1 species